UUGCCCAUUUUGGCACUAGCACAUUUUUGUUUCGUUUCCUGCUGUUUGAGCAAUCAUGUGUAGUGCCAAUAUGGGACA
rnacentral:pre_miRNA from 1 species